rnacentral:sRNA from 1 species
ACAUUUGAUCGGAGCCCAGCUUAUGGUCAGACUGUUCUUUGGGAGAGAGGGGAGCAGGGACACAUGCUGAACAGCUGGGGGCACUGCGAACAAAACAUUGGUCUCAUUUUACACCAGGCAAUGUCUACAGCUGUUAAAGCCUCAUUUUCAGUUCCAAACCAGUUUUACCUCUGUAGCUUGGAAUCAGAAUGGAGUCCUUUGGAGAGCACCCUUGUUGAUUACAGCCUCUGACUGACACAUUAUGCUGCCCCUCGCAUGGUAUAGAGAGAGAGGAGGACACUUCUUGAGGACCCCUUGCUCCCACUUCUGCAUCGUCCACAAACACUUUGUACUCUGACAAAGGCCCGUUAUGGAACUUUUGGUUAAUUUUCUGCAUAGUUAAAAAAAAACAUUACAUGUUCAAUUGAUAGAAUCAUUAGAUUUCCUGGUGGAUAAAUUUUAAUAAAAAAUUGGGGUACCUUUCAUUCACAAAUAACAUCCUCCACAAAUCAAUUAAUUAGUGAUAUAAAUCUGUUUCUUCUUCGGUAGGUAUAAGUUAAUACAUGAAAUUACCUCCCCUAAAACCUGUAAAAUUUAAGCAAUCCACGAAAAUUGGCCCCACGAAUUUUAAUGAUUCCACAGUAGAGGAAAUGAUGCAGCUGAUAAUUUGUAAAAUAAAAAUCUUAUAUGCUU